rnacentral:rRNA from 1 species
CUCUCUUGAGAGCGGCGGACGGGUGAGUAAUGCCUAGGAAUCUGCCUGGUAGUGGGGGAUAACGCUCGGAAACGGACGCUAAUACCGCAUACGUCCUACGGGAGAAAGCAGGGGACCUUCGGGCCUUGCGCUAUCAGAUGAGCCUAGGUCGGAUUAGCUAGUUGGUGGGGUAAUGGCUCACCAAGGCGACGAUCCGUAACUGGUCUGAGAGGAUGAUCAGUCACACUGGAACUGAGACACGGUCCAGACUCCUACGGGAGGCAGCAGUGGGGAAUAUUGGACAAUGGGCGAAAGCCUGAUCCAGCCAUGCCGCGUGUGUGAAGAAGGUCUUCGGAUUGUAAAGCACUUUAAGUUGGGAGGAAGGGCAUUAACCUAAUACGUUAGUGUUUUGACGUUACCGACAGAAUAAGCACCGGCUAACUCUGUGCCAGCAGCCUCGGGUAAUA